UGGGGAAUAUUGGACAAUGGGCGCAAGCCUGCUCCAGCCAUGCCGCGUGAGUGAUGAAGGCCCUAGGGUUGUAAAGCUCUUUCACCGGUGAAGAUAAUGACGGUAACCGGAGAAGAAGCCCCGGCUAACUUCGUGCCAGCAGCCGCGGUAAUACGAAGGGGGCUAGCGUUGUUCGGAUUUACUGGGCGUAAAGCGCACGUAGGCGGACUUUUAAGUCAGGGGUGAAAUCCCGGGGCUCAACCCCGGAACUGCCUUUGAUACUGGAAGUCUUGAGUAUGGUAGAGGUGAGUGGAAUUCCGGGUGUAGAGGUGAAAUUCGUAGAUAUUCGGAGGAACACCAGUGGCGAAGGCGGCUCACUGGACCAUUACUGACGCUGAGGUGCGAAAGCGUGGGGAGCAAACAGG
rnacentral:rRNA from 1 species